UACGUAGGGCGCAAGCGUUGUCCGGAAUUAUUGGGCGUAAAGAGCUCGUAGGCGGUUUGUCACGUCUGCUGUGAAAACUGGAGGCUCAACCUCCAGCCUGCAGUGGGUACGGGCAGACUAGAGUGCGGUAGGGGAGAUUGGAAUUCCUGGUGUAGCGGUGGAAUGCGCAGAUAUCAGGAGGAACACCGAUGGCGAAGGCAGAUCUCUGGGCCGUUACUGACGCUGAGGAGCGAAAGCGUGGGGAGCGAACAGG
rnacentral:rRNA from 1 species